AAACCAAAGUCACUCACAUGUUUUCAUGAGCCGCUUUCAUCGCUUUUGCCGCAAAGCCCAUGUUCCUUAACACUUCGGUGUUAGUGUCGCCUGCAAUGCAGCUAAAUAAGGGAGAAGCCACAUUUAUAAGGAGAGAACCUAAGUGACACCUAACCUGGGUGUCACCGGAGUGUCUUCAGCCUUACCCAUGAACUCAGCACUGCUAACACCUACAGAAGAGGAAAUGCCAAAUAAAGUUAAGAAACGGAA